CCAGCUGCCGCCAUGACCAGCAGCAUGUGAAGACGCCGGUAAGCCACCAGCCACGUGGCAAGAAACCUGGGACACUACUGGAAUCCUGGAGACCUGAUGGGAGCGGUCAAAAGUCAUCCUCCAUUAUACUUCAGGAAUCCUAGGAGUCCCUCUGACAUGAGCCAGACAGAUACCGAGGAUUGUGUGUGAUUGUUUCGCUGAACAAGUUUGGUAUGAAUGAGAAGCAAGAAAUAUCCUCUGCAAGUGUUACAGCUCCAGAGGGACAGAAAAUCUUGACUGUCUAAAGUCAGGCUGUACCUGCAGGGGUUACAGCUCUGGAGGGAAAGGGGAAAAGUAGCAGGAAAUGGGGAGGUGAAAGAUUGUCCAAGCAUCACCGAAACAAUCGGGGACUCGAUGCUGGUAGCAGAAGCUUUCUCUAGGGCAAAAGAAGGUAAGUAUCUCAAACUCUCUAGAUGCUGGACAUCUGUUUCAAAGAGGCUUUCCUUCUGUGAAGAUAUCAC